UACGUAGGUGGCAAGCGUUGUCCGGAUUUACUGGGCGUAAAGAGCGCGCAGGCGGUCGUUCAAGUCGCGUGUGAAAGCCCCCGGCUCAACUGGGGAGGGUCACGCGAUACUGAUCGACUCGAAGGCAGGAGAGGGUAGUGGAAUUCCCGGUGUAGUGGUGAAAUGCGUAGGAUAUCAGGAGGAACACCGGUGGCGAAGGCGGGUCUCUGGGCCGUAACUGACGCUGAGGAGCGAAAGCGUGGGGAGCGAACAGG
rnacentral:rRNA from 1 species